GGGUGAGUAAUACAUCGGAACGUGCCCGAUCGUGGGGGAUAGCUCGGCGAAAGCCGGAUUAAUACCGCAUACGAUCUUCGGAUGAAAGCAGGGGACCGCAAGGCCUUGCGCGAACGGAGCGGCCGAUGGCAGAUUAGGUAGUUGGUGGGGUAAAGGCUCACCAAGCCGACGAUCUGUAGCUGGUCUGAGAGGACGACCAGCCACACUGGGACUGAGACACGGCCCAGACUCCUACGGGAGGCAGCAGUGGGGAAUUUUGGACAAUGGGCGCAAGCCUGAUCCAGCAAUGCCGCGUGCAGGAUGAAGGCCUUCGGGUUGUAAACUGCUUUUGUACGGAACGAAAAGGCUCUGGUUAAUACCUGGGGCUCAUGACGGUACCGUAAGAAUAAGCACCGGCUAACUACGUGCCAGCAGCCGCGGUAAUACGUAGGGUGCGAGCGUUAAUCGGAAUUACUGGGCGUAAAGCGUGCGCAGGCGGUGAUGUAAGACAGUUGUGAAAUCCCCGGGCUCAACCUGGGAACUGCGUCUGUGACUGCAUCGCUGGAGUGCGGCAGAGGGGGAUGGAAUUCCGCGUGUAGCAGUGAAAUGCGUAGAUAUGCGGAGGAACACCGAUGGCGAA
rnacentral:rRNA from 1 species